CCCCAACUUGCCAGCCUCUGUACUUUACCCUCUCAUAUUCACAUCGUCAACCCCGGAGCUCACAACCCUGAGACUCCGGGAGAAAGGAGACCUGAUUAUUCCUCUCUCGUGGUUAACCAAUAAAGAUAAGCAAAAAGAAGAGGUCUUCGUAGGAGCAGCGUGUGAAACAUCACAGGAUGGCCCUCCCCCCUAGGUCGAGUUCUCAUUGCAAAGCAUGAACGAUGAAGUCUUUUUCCUUAGACGACGGGAACUUUGGCAGCCGCUUCCUAUUUUCCCC